rnacentral:piRNA from 1 species
UAACAACAGUUUGAUCAUUCUCAUGAGC